UACGUAUGGGGCAAGCGUUAUCCGGAUUUACUGGGUGUAAAGGGAGCGCAGGCGGCCUGGCAAGCCUGACGUGAAAUACCGGGGCCCAACCCCGGGGCUGCAUUGGGAACUGCCAGGCUGGAGUGCCGGAGAGGCAGGCGGAAUUCCUAGUGUAGCGGUGAAAUGCGUAGAUAUUAGGAGGAACACCAGUGGCGAAGGCGGCCUGCUGGACGGUGACUGACGCUGAGGCUCGAAAGCGUGGGGAGCAAACAGG
rnacentral:rRNA from 1 species